rnacentral:rRNA from 1 species
AUGGAGGGCCAUGUAAAGGACAAACUCAUAUUGCGCCUCGUCACGCAGCAGUGCCGAGGCCUCGUGGUCCUCAAAACCGCAAGCACACACUACAUGCUCAACCCAUCGACCGGCAGAAUGGCAGCCCUCCCAGAGAACCAGGCCAAGGGUGGCCUCGGUAUCACACGCCUAGGGCUAGGCUACCACACGCGCACCAGGACGCACAAAGUUGUGCGUGUCUACUAUCUUCCCAUAUCUGCGGGAUGCGAGGUCUACGAGAUCAACUCGUCCCCCGCGCUCUGGAGGCCGGGAAAGGGUUGCGCUCAAAAGAAACCGCUGGGUUGGGUAAACAAAGAGCAUGACGUUAGCGUCUUUACCCAAGGGCACAUCUAUUGGUUGGCUGAGCGUAAGCUUGUCACUUCGUCUAAAAAGGUGUUCGUCUUCUCCUUCAAUAUAGACAAUGAGACAUUUGGGACCGUGUCAUUGCCACCGCUCUGCACGGAGAGAAACUGUCAAGACCAAUACGACUUGACCGAGUUUGGUGGGCGCCUAUGCCUCUUCCAUACUGAAGUUGUCUGCAAUGUGCCUCAUCGUGGGCACAAUGUAUGGCUGCUGCGCGACCAUGACACUGGCGUGUGGGAUCUACACUGUCAGAUCGACCUAUCCAUGCUAUCCCCGAACAACGCCAACUUCAUGCGGUAUGGGUAUUGGAUUGACCUACUUUCCGUGGUUGACAAUGGUCGCCGCAUCAUCAUACGGUCAUGUAGGGAGUACUUCCAAAAAUCAAGCUUCGAGUUAUGUGGAGACGCCCCCGUGAUCGGCGACACGAAGAACCUCCUCAAUGGAAGUGGCCUUAUCUCUGCUAAUAGCAGGACAACGCCACAAGCAGUAUUGUACGAGGAAAGCAUCGUCUCCCCUGGGCAGCCGCUAACAACCUACAACUGUAGAGAUUGUUUGUUAGCUCUUUUGAAAGCAAGGAGGUAA